GUGUCGCUAGCUCCUGCGGGAAGACCGCCUGCACUGCAAGACAUAGAGGCCAGCCAGUCAGAGACGGAUGCCGACACACUGGCUUGGGAUGGCGCAGAGAGCGGAGAGACCGGAGAAUCCCAGAGACGGACAACCCCAGAGACAAGGCAAUGAAUAACUAGCAACGCUGAUUCCUCCAGACACAUCAGGUGCUCAGAUGGCGCUGCAUAUUUUCAUGGAUUUCGGUGAAGCUUGCGUAGCAUUAUACAAAGUCGUUGCCAUCUGCCCGUGAAUCCGUUUGCCGCGAGGCGGUGUGCACAUUUAACUAAAGGAGAGAAAAUACUUAAUCUUUUGUGAACAAGAAGGUCGACAUCUGCAGGCUAGAACCAAGACACACCUGCAACAAUGUCUGUUCUAUCAAGCUGAACGGGGGAUUUAACAGGAAUGGAAAUACUGCUGGACUUUGGGGGCUUUUUCAUAUAUAAAUAAUAUCUUGCAUAUAUACAUAUUGCCUUCAUUUGGAGACCACAAACAUUAGGAUGUUAGCCCACGGCCCAUCCACCACUUAAGCCUGAUAUUCAGGGGCCAACUUGCUUCCUGGUGCCAUUUAAAGUUAGACAUCAGCAGGUCUGGAUAACUUGCAUCCAAGAAUUUUAAAAGAGUUGACCAAGGAGCCCUCUGGACCAUUAAUGUUGAUUUUCCAUAACCAUCUUUAUUAUGGUAGAGCCCAAAGGCCAACCAAGAAUGGGGCCCCAUUGUACUAGGGAUGCCUUGGAAUACUGGAGAAAUUCCAGAGGACCGGAAGAAAGUUAAUGUUGUGCCAAUAUAAAAGAGCGAAUAGGAUAAAAUGGGUAAUUAUAGACAUGUCAGCCUGACUUUAAUUCUGGUCAAAAUAGUGGAACAGCUAAUAUAGGACUUAAUUAAUAAAGAAUUAAUGGAUUACUGUCAAUUAACUAGGUUUAA